CCCCUCCCCUUUCCCAGGUGAUUGCGUUUGGGUGCUGGGUGGGGACAAAAGGUAUAUGAGCCCCAGGCAUGCCAUCAGAGAGCUCCUUCUGCCUGGGCUGCUCUCUGGGGUAAGUGCUUUGCUUUUCCUUCAGUCAGUUGCAGGGUUCUCUAGGCAGGCUGGAGCCUAUGGAUUUCUGGAUUUUAAGUGCUUGGAAUUCACUUAGUAGAGGGAUGUUUAGUAGGGGCUGCUGGCUCACUGUUUUUUUGGGAUGGUGGGAUACUCUUCUGUUUUUGAGCUAUAUUUUAAUAUCUAGAUGUAUAAACCCACUUGUGUAACUCUCCAGAGGACUAAAACCAGCUUGACUGCAUGCUACAUGUGGCUUGGCAGUGUAGAUGCAGCAUUACUAAGAGACUGAGCAGGGUUGUAUCAGAGUCACCUCUUUCAUCUGCGUAAGUCUGUGACUACCCCUUCCUGGGCUGCUGUGUGUGCAUGUCUUUUUGGCAUUUAUGGAGCUCUGUUUUUUUUUUUGUGUGUGUGUGUAUGUUCAAAGUUUUUUUUUUUUUUUUUUUGAGGGGCAAAUAGCGUGUUUGCUGAGCGUGGUUGGCAGGAGGAGGUGGGGAGCUCCUCAGGACUGGUGCUUUGUGCAGUCGUGGACAGGGAAGGGAAAUCCUCAUGUCACGAAGCACUGAGGGAAGGGAGUGUGGAUGAUGCUGGCCGCUCCUUUCAAGCUUGGACCUAAUUGGCAGGUACAGAGGCUGCAAUGCAGUGUGCAGUGCAGGAUGUCUCAACCAGCUGCCUCUGCAGUGACUCUGGUGGAGUGGAUGAUAGUGGCUGCACUGUUGGAGCUUGGUUUCGGAGAGGAACAGGUGAGCAGAACCGUAUGUUGCAUCAGCAGUAGUCAGCAUUGUGGAGAAGGUGGGCAUCAUGGCCGACGUGCUAGUGAAUGCUGGUACUCUGUUUUUUGCAGCUGAUGAUGAGCCUGGCAAUUGACUAAGAUGACAAUCGGUGCCUGUGUAUUUCUUGAGGUGGAAGGAAUUUACCAUCCAACAACCUGAGAGCUAAGUUGGGGGGCGCCUGGUAUUUGCAUAUCUGGGGUGGCUAAUGGGAGCUGGGAGCCAGAGCAGCAUGGAGCCAGCUGGCUGAAUAGACUUGGUGCCACUGUGAGGGUGUUUCAGGCUGGGUCACGUUCAGGCUGCUUGUGGCUGGGUCACCAGGCUAAUAGAAGCAGCGGGAUUAUUUCGUAGCGUGAGUGCGUGUGCCAGGCAGGACAGUUUCCUUCAGUUUGUCUGUCUUGUGGUGUUGCUUCUGCAGUGUGUGUUGUGAGUUAUGGUCUCCUUCGGUCUUGAUAUCCUCAUGGGUUUUGACACUGGACUGACCAGACAGGCGACUUGGUAGCUGUGCUGAAGGGCCUCAAUGCUUGUUUUGUCAUCAUGGCUCUGAUCCGAGCACUUCUUGUCUUGCAGUCGCUGCUUGAAGUGUAGAUGUGUUUCAGGUCUUGUUCAUUGUAUUCGGUUUGAGAUCACAUCUGUUUCCAUCCUCACUCUUGCAGAAGUCAUCUGGGGCACAUCAGGAGCCUUUGCUUGGGAAUUGAUUUCCUCAGUGUCUUCUUAGGGGGUUUUCACUCCCCAUCCUUCUGGUCUCUUGUCUUGAAGGCAGGCUUUUUAGGCCUCCAUCAUCCCAGUUCUGGCAGUUCUUCCAGUCACAUGUUGAGACGUUUGAGUGUCUCCUUGGGUCUGGUGUAGAGCACCUGUUCUGACUUGCUGUUGCCAUAGGGCUUCCCUCUGGGGUCACUUUUUCUUGCGCCUCGUGUUGUGUGUUUUGUUUGUAGUGUUCGUGGCGUGCUUGUGUGUGUAUGUGUUUGGUCUGGAGCUGUCCUGCCUGGCAGUUAGUGAUUAACAUGGCAGGUCAUGGGUGUACUAAUACAUUGUCUGGACUGUGUUUUCGAAGACAUCUGGUCUGCCUCUGGGCACG
rnacentral:lncRNA from 1 species